rnacentral:rRNA from 1 species
AACGAACGCUAUCGGUAUGCUUAACACAUGCAAGUCGGACGGACUAAUUAGGGCUUGCUCCAAUUAGUUAGUGGCAGACGGGUGAGUAACACGAGGGAAUCUGCCCAUCAGUACGGAAUAACUUUUAGAAAUAAAAGCUAAUACCGUAUAUUCUCUACAGAGGAAAGAUUUAUCGCUGAUGGAUGAGCCCGCGUCAGAUUAGGUAGUUGGUGAGGUAACGGCUCACCAAGCCGACGAUCUGUAGCUGGUCUGAGAGGAUGAUCAGCCACACUGGGACUGAGACACGGCCCAGACUCCUACGGGAGGCAGCAGUGGGGAAUAUUGGACAAUGGGCGAAAGCCUGAUCCAGCAAUACCGAGUGAGUGAUAAAGGCCCUAGGGUUGUAAAGCUCUUUUAGCAAGGAAGAUAAUGACGUUACUUGCAGAAAAAGCCCCGGCUAACUCCGUG